UAGUAUUAUUCUCAUAUAAUGGUAAUAAUAAAUUGAUUUAUAUUUUAAAGUAAAAUUGUAGAUAGGUGAACUGAUAUGGUUGGGUGUUCGACAAUGAAUGAAAUAGAUACAACAUGCUACCGCCAUGUCUAGAAAUGAGUAAUGGAUGACUUGCAUGAUUAGAUAUCUAGUAAUGUUGGUAUUGUAAUAAGCCCAAUUGCCCGGGCCCGCAUCAGAAAACCAAAUACAACAAACGGGCCUACAUGGCCCAAAACUUAUAAACCCAUAGCAGCCUAAAACCCAAAAAAAGAAACCCUAGCUUCUCUGCUCCAGUCGCCGCUCUCAACAGCAGCCACACUCGCAGCGUCCACCCUGCGCACGUCGCGGGGAUGCCUCCAGCGAGGUUCCAGGCGCCGCACGUCUCGGGCCUCCUCUCCACGCACAUGCGCCACCGAACCUGCAAAAAUAGAAACACACAAGCGCAGCAAAUAACGGAAAACAAGUGGGAUUUUUUUAUUUUGUUUAGAUUUUUGAUUUUUUCGGCUAUUUAAAGCCUUGAAAAAUCUAUAAAAAAGGGGGGGGAUUUUUGAGCUUAAACAGAGACAGAAAUAGAGAGAAAAAGAAAAUACAAAGAAAAUCAAUAGAGAAUAAAUCAACAUCGUUUUCUUUUUAAGGUGUUUAUUAGUUUUUUAAAUAUUUUAGAGUUAUUUUCCUUUUCCGAUUUGGUGUUUAAAUUUGCAAAAAGGAAAUAGGAAGGUGAGGGCUUACUUUGCCUUCGAAUCGGCUCCGAAGAGGGUUAAAAAACCCAGUCCGGCGAGCCUCCGGCCACUGGUUGCGGCGAAACCACGGCGAACGGACGGCGGCGCAAGGGAUUGGGACAAAACCCUAGCAGAGAGCAUUUGAAAUUUUUUAUUUUCUUUAUUUUUUCAUCCAGUUUCAAAUGUCUUUUUGGAAAAAAAAACUGUUUUUAUAACAGCACAAAACGGCGCCGUUUCAACCCUGCGACCCGCGCGGUGACCCGACCCGAAGGGGAGGAUCCGCGCGUUAUUGCCUUUGAUGGUAUAAUUCCGCAUAAAGCCCCUGUCCGUUUGCAGCGCAUUCCGAUCGGACCUUUUCUUUUUUAAAAUUGGGCCGCAGCUUUGAUUUUUGUUUCAAUUUGAUGCCUCGUUGCGUAGCGUUUAGGGAGGAAAGGAAUUAUUUCCUUUUUAGUCCCCCAUUAUUGAUCUUUUUAUUUAUUUUUGAAUUCGCCCCUGUCUUUUUGUCAUCUGUUCAAUUUAAUCUGUUCUUUUAAGAUUGUUUUAAUUUUUUUUUUACGUGAUUAUUUUAUUGUACUAUUAUUUGUUUUAUUAUCAUUAUAUCCUUUAUUAUUACUUCUAGAUUUAUAACAUAUAUUUUAUUGAAAUUGUUUAUUAAUACCUGCAUGCGUUUUAUAUAUAUAUAAACAUUUUCAGUAUAUAUAUACUUUUU
rnacentral:lncRNA from 1 species